UGAUGUUAGCGGCGGACGGGUGAGUAACACGUGGGUAACCUGCCUGUAAGACUGGGAUAACUCCGGGAAACCGGGGCUAAUACCGGAUGGUUGUUUGAACCGCAUGGUUCAAACAUAAAAGGUGGCUUCGGCUACCACUUACAGAUGGACCCGCGGCGCAUUAGCUAGUUGGUGAGGUAACGGCUCACCAAGGCAACGAUGCGUAGCCGACCUGAGAGGGUGAUCGGCCACACUGGGACUGAGACACGGCCCAGACUCCUACGGGAGGCAGCAGUAGGGAAUCUUCCGCAAUGGACGAAAGUCUGACGGAGCAACGCCGCGUGAGUGAUGAAGGUUUUCGGAUCGUAAAGCUCUGUUGUUAGGGAAGAACAAGUACCGUUCGAAUAGGGCGGUACCUUGACGGUACCUAACCAGAAAGCCACGGCUAACUACGUGCCAGCAGCCGCGGUAAUACGUAGGUGGCAAGCGUUGUCCGGAAUUAUUGGGCGUAAAGGGCUCGCAGGCGGUUUCUUAAGUCUGAUGUGAAAGCCCCCGGCUCAACCGGGGAGGGUCAUUGGAAACUGGGGAACUUGAGUGCAGAAGAGGAGAGUGGAAUUCCACGUGUAGCGGUGAAAUGCGUAGAGAUGUGGAGGAACACCAGUGGCGAAGGCGAC
rnacentral:rRNA from 1 species